CGGUUAAGUUAGAAAGGGCGCACGGUGGAUGCCUUGGCACUAGGAGCCGAUGAAGGACGGGACGAACACCGAUAUGCUUCGGGGAGCUGUAAGCAAGCUUUGAUCCGGAGAUUUCCGAAUGGGGAAACCCACCACUCGUAAUGGAGUGGUAUCCAUAUCUGAAUACAUAGGAUAUGAGAAGGCAGACCCGGGGAACUGAAACAUCUAAGUACCCGGAGGAAGAGAAAGCAAAUGCGAUUCCCUGAGUAGCGGCGAGCGAAACGGGACCAGCCCAAACCAAGAGGCUUGCCUCUUGGGGUUGUAGGACACUCUGUACGGAGUUACAAAGGAACGAGGUAGAUGAAGAGGUCUGGAAAGGCCCGCCAUAGGAGGUAACAGCCCUGUAGUCAAAACUUCGUUCUCUCCUGAGUGGAUCCUGAGUACGGCGGAACACGUGAAAUUCCGUCGGAAUCCGGGAGGACCAUCUCCCAAGGCUAAAUACUCCCUAGUGACCGAUAGUGAACCAGUACCGUGAGGGAAAGGUGAAAAGCACCCCGGAAGGGGAGUGAAAGAGAUCCUGAAACCGUGUGCCUACAAGUAGUCAGAGCCCGUUAACGGGUGAUGGCGUGCCUUUUGUAGAAUGAACCGGCGAGUUACGAUUCCGUGCAAGGUUAAGCAGAAGAUGCGGAGCCGCAGCGAAAGCGAGUCUGAAUAGGGCGAAUUGAGUACGUGGUCGUAGACCCGAAACCAGGUGAUCUACCCAUGUCCAGGGUGAAGUUCAGGUAACACUGAAUGGAGGCCCGAACCCACGCACGUUGAAAAGUGCGGGGAUGAGGUGUGGGUAGGGGUGAAAUGCCAAUCGAACCUGGAGAUAGCUGGUUCUCUCCGAAAUAGCUUUAGGGCUAGCCUCAAGGUAAGAGUCUCGGAGGUAGAGCACUGAUUGGACUAGGGGCCCCUACCGGGUUACCGAAUUCAGUCAAACUCCGAAUGCCGAUGACUUAUCCUUGGGAGUCAGACUGCGAGUGAUAAGAUCCGUAGUCAAAAGGGAAACAGCCCAGACCGCCAGCUAAGGUCCCAAAGUAUACGUUAAGUGGAAAAGGAUGUGGAGUUGCUUAGACAACCAGGAUGUUGGCUUAGAAGCAGCCACCAUUUAAAGAGUGCGUAAUAGCUCACUGGUCGAGUGACUCUGCGCCGAAAAUGUACCGGGGCUAAACGUAUCACCGAAGCUGCGGACUGUUCUUCGAACAGUGGUAGGAGAGCGUUCUAAGGGCUGUGAAGCAAGACCGGAAGGACUUGUGGAGCGCUUAGAAGUGAGAAUGCCGGUAUGAGUAGCGAAAGAGGGGUGAGAAUCCCCUCCACCGAAUGCCUAAGGUUUCCUGAGGAAGGCUCGUCCGCUCAGGGUUAGUCGGGACCUAAGCCGAGGCCGAAAGGCGUAGGCGAUGGAUAACAGGUUGAUAUUCCUGUACCACCUCCUCACCAUUUGAGCAAUGGGGGGACGCAGGAGGAUAGGGUAAGCGCGGUAUUGGAUAUCCGCGUCCAAGCAGUUAGGCUGGGAAAUAGGCAAAUCCGUUUCCCGUGAAGGCUGAGCUGUGAUGGCGAGCGAAUUAUAGUAGCGAAGUUCCUGAUUCCACACUGCCAAGAAAAGCCUCUAGCGAGGUGAGAGGUGCCCGUACCGCAAACCGACACAGGUAGGCGAGGAGAGAAUCCUAAGGUGAUCGAGAGAACUCUCGUUAAGGAACUCGGCAAAAUGACCCCGUAACUUCGGGAGAAGGGGUGCUCUGUUAGGGUGCAAGCCCGAGAGAGCCGCAGUGAAUAGGCCCAGGCGACUGUUUAGCAAAAACACAGGUCUCUGCGAAGCCGUAAGGCGAAGUAUAGGGGCUGACGCCUGCCCGGUGCUGGAAGGUUAAGAGGAGCGCUUAGCGUAAGCGAAGGUGCGAAUUGAAGCCCCAGUAAACGGCGGCCGUAACUAUAACGGUCCUAAGGUAGCGAAAUUCCUUGUCGGGUAAGUUCCGACCCGCACGAAAGGCGCAACGAUCUGGGCACUGUCUCAACGAGAGACUCGGUGAAAUUAUAGUACCUGUGAAGAUGCAGGUUACCCGCGACAGGACGGAAAGACCCCGUGGAGCUUUACUGCAGCCUGAUAUUGAAUGUUGGUACAGCUUGUACAGGAUAGGUAGGAGCCUUGGAAACCGGAGCGCCAGCUUCGGUGGAGGCAUCGGUGGGAUACUACCCUGGCUGUAUUGACCUUCUAACCCGCCGCCCUUAUCGGGCGGGGAGACAGUGUCAGGUGGGCAGUUUGACUGGGGCGGUCGCCUCCUAAAAGGUAACGGAGGCGCCCAAAGGUUCCCUCAGAAUGGUUGGAAAUCAUUCGCAGAGUGUAAAGGCACAAGGGAGCUUGACUGCGAGACCUACAAGUCGAGCAGGGACGAAAGUCGGGCUUAGUGAUCCGGUGGUGCCGCAUGGAAGGGCCAUCGCUCAACGGAUAAAAGCUACCCCGGGGAUAACAGGCUUAUCUCCCCCAAGAGUCCACAUCGACGGGGAGGUUUGGCACCUCGAUGUCGGCUCAUCGCAUCCUGGGGCUGUAGUCGGUCCCAAGGGUUGGGCUGUUCGCCCAUUAAAGCGGUACGCGAGCUGGGUUCAGAACGUCGUGAGACAGUUCGGUCCCUAUCCGUCGCGGGCGCAGGAAAUUUGAGAGGAGCUGUCCUUAGUACGAGAGGACCGGGAUGGACGCACCGCUGGUGUACCAGUUGUUCUGCCAAGGGCAUCGCUGGGUAGCUAUGUGCGGACGGGAUAAGUGCUGAAAGCAUCUAAGCAUGAAGCCCCCCUCAAGAUGAGAUUUCCCAUUCCGCAAGGAAGUAAGAUCCCUGAAAGAUGAUCAGGUUGAUAGGUCUGAGGUGGAAGUGUGGCGACACAUGGAGCUGACAGAUACUAAUCGAUCGAGGACUUAACCAAUUU
rnacentral:rRNA from 1 species